ACUGCUGACAAGUAGUAUUUUACAAGCACUUGGUCUUUCUUCUGCAGAAGAAUUGAUUGGGUGGACCUACGCAGAUCCAUCUUGGGCUCGCAUUGCAGCUCUCAUUCCAGUUGUAGUAUCCUGUGCAGAGGCCGGGGAUGAGGUUGCAUACAAGAUCUUGCUAGAAUCGGCGCAAGAACUGGCUUCAAGUGUUAAAGCUGUUGUAGGCAGACUUGGAUUGUGCGGUCAAGAUGGAAAGGAUGCUUUCGAGUUUCUUAGAAAUUCCAAGUUUCUUGAUCUCAAGACCAUCAUCACUAUUCACUGCUUUCGAGGGUUCUUCGUAUGGAAAAGUUUCAGCAGCAUAACCAGCGCGAGAAGACAAAGAGGCGCGAAAUAGCAAAGGUUUUCAUAGAUGUUUUUCCUGAAGUAGUUGAGCACAGAAGGCUAUCAAUUGUUCUAUAUCUCCUACGAACUUUGGGUGAGGGUAAAAGCUUGGCCUCGUUACUUAUCUUGUUGUUCUCUUAGUUAGUUUCAAGGAAAGCCACCUGUUUCGUCAAUAUUCAGACGCCAGAUGCGUUAACAUUUUUUACUAAAGAGUGGGAAUAUAAAUUAGCAGUGCAGAUUUGUGAACAUUUUGGUUUCUCAGUGUGAUGUCACUGGUCUAGCAUACUUUUAUUUGAUUAGUCUGUAAACACUUCUGUUUAUCCCAACAAGGAUUCAUAUUAUUCAAAAGGCUCUUGGGCUGUUAUGUGAUGCUGCAAGAAAUCUUGAAAAAGUCAGCUUAAUUAAUGCUUAAAGACAAGAAAGCUUCAAGGUCAAGAUCAAGUUUUCCUUGGCUUCAUAUGGAUGAAGGCUCUCAAGAAUCACUUAAUAAAAUGUGUUUAGAAAUUCUUAGAGUACUUGAUGAUUCAUCAAAUACCUCCUUGAAAGUGUUAGCAGUUUCAGCGUUGGAAGUUCUUGCAGAAAGGUUCCCUUCGAAUAGUUCCAUCUUCGGUGUAUGCCUUGGAUCUAUUACAAGAUGCAUUACAUCUCAUAACAUGGCUGUGACUUCUACUUUUACUUUCAUUUCCUAAAUAAACACUUGUCAGUCUUCGACAAUCCCUGUGAAGAUGAAUCUUUAUAAAUUUUAUUACUCGAAGAUAAACUAAUGCACUUGAUAGG